rnacentral:rRNA from 1 species
CCCUUAGAUGUUCUGGGCCGCACGCGUGCUACACUGAGUGGAUCAGCGGGUCAGGUUGCGCGAAAGCGUUUCCUAAUCUUUAAAUCCGCUCGUGAUGGGGCUUGACGGUUGCAAUUUUCUGUCAUGAACGAGGAAUACCUUGUAAGCGCGGGUCAUCAUCCCGCGCUGAAUACGUCCCUGCCCUUUGUACACACCGCCCGUCGCUCCUACCGAUUGAGUGGUCCGGUGAGGCUUUGGGAUCUGAGCGGAAAGAGCGUUUCGCUGUUUCUGCUCGGAAAACUCAGUCGAACCUUAUCAUUUAGAGGAAGGAGAAGUCGUAACA